GUUGGGGAAAAUAGUGGUCAGUCGGGUUAGGGAAAAAGACAUCAUCCCUUGAGGUAAAAUUAGGUUUGCUUCCUUUUACUCCCAAAAUCUUUUUACCGUGGGUAAAAAGAAUCAUCAUGGGGGUAUAAAAGGAACCAAAUUUAAAUUUACCUCAUGGGAUCUUGAUGUCUUUUUCCCCAACAGGACUGGUCACUAUUUUUCCCAAG
rnacentral:pre_miRNA from 1 species